UUUUAAACUAGGAUUAGAUCCCUAUUAUUUAAAAUGUAAAUUAAUUGCUAAAGUAGUAAUAGUUAUGUUCUUGAAACUUAAAAAAUUUGGCGGUAUUUUAGUCUAUCCAGAGGAACCUGUUUUGUAAUCGAUAAUCCACGAUGGACCUUACUUAAGUUUGUAAUCAGUUUAUAUACCGUCGUUAUCAGAAUAUUUUAUAAGAAUAAUAAUAUUCAAUAAUUUUAAUAAAAAUUUAUAUCAGAUCAAGGUGUAGCUUAUAUUUAAGUAAUAAUGGGUUACAAUAAAAAUAUUUAUACGGAUAAAAUUAUGAAAAAUUUUUGAAGGUGGAUUGGUAGUAAAAUUAUAUAGAUAAAUAAUUUGAUUUUAGCUCUAAAAUAUGUACACAUCGCCCGUCGCUCUUAUUAUUAAGGAAGAUAAUCGUAACUAUAAA
rnacentral:rRNA from 1 species